AUUGGUAGCAAUUGGUGUUUUCAUGAUUAUUUAUUAGCAGAUUUCUUGUCAGACAGUGGCAGAUCACCUCGCAAUCAGGUGUGAACUGACCAUUAGUUAAACUAGCGAAUUCUGCAAUGACUAAGGCCAACUAGGAAAAUUAUAGAAUCUCCCCAGCCAAUCGGACACAAACCAAGUACUGGCCAAAAGAGGGAGCUCUGUCCCUUCAUGGACC